rfam:Eubacterium cellulosolvens 6 chromosome, whole genome shotgun sequence.
UUAAUUGCAUAGCAAACCUGUAGUGAUGCAGGGACGCAAAACCGUGAGUCACGAGGCAGUUUCGUGAUUGUCUGGCUGCAAUC